rnacentral:lncRNA from 1 species
AUGCUUUGGGUCCAUGUUUUGUUACUUUGUUUAAUCUUGUUAGAAGUCUUACACUUGAAAACUUGUUGUUUUAUUUGGUUUCAAGGAUUCUCAAGAUUAAGAAGAAAUUGAGAGCCCAAAUCAAUGAUAGAACCCGAAUUGUCAACCAUCUAAGCUCGAACAUCAAUAGGUAAGUCGAAAAUCCUGUUUUAGUGAGUGAUGAGAAAUGGGUUUUUGACCCAAUGUGAAAUUAGGUGCAAUUCUUGUGCAAAUGUAAGUUAGGAACUCAUAAUAGACUGGGAAUUAUGCUUGAUUUCGAUUAUUGAAAGGGUUAGGGUUUAUACCCGUAUGUUGUAGGACUUGCAUGAACAAGAUGAUUUUUAUAAUAUGCUUACAAUUGCGAGUUGUUGCAUGAUCUUGUAUGUGAUAAAGAAAUUAGACAAAUUAUCAUAAGAUGAAGGAAAGAUAGGAAUUCAACCAAUUCUUGUUAAACUAGAAAGUUAAUCAAGUAAAAUCCAUGCUAUGAACACUUGUACAUUAUGAUUGUAAAUACAAUGCCCACCAAGUGUUUGAUAAAAUGCUUAAGAGAUGAUUAUAUAUGUGGUAUGAGAAGAAAAUGAUGGAAUGACUUGAUUUAACUAAGUAAACGAAUGUUGUAAUGUAGGCGUGAAGGAAGAAAGCUCGAACACUAGUAAAGCGGGAGGUGUA